CCUGAUGCAGCGACGCCGCGUGAGGGAUGAAGGCCUUCGGGUUGUAAACCUCUUUCAGCAGGGAAGAAGCGCAAGUGACGGUACCUGCAGAAGAAGCGCCGGCUAACUACGUGCCAGCAGCCGCGGUAAU
rnacentral:rRNA from 1 species